UUAUUGAAAUAAACCUGAUGAGGUGCUGCUGGUUCUCUAAGGGAACAUGUGCACAUUUGUCAUUUUUAUAUUACCACCCUGUGCAUCGUUUGUAGACUUUGGAUAUCUUUCUGAAUGCUUUUGUAGCAUGUCAGGUUUGAGGAUUGACUUUCUUGUCUGUCUUUACAUUUCCAGGUCUAUGUUUCUUCAAUAUACCCCAAUGUAUGUUAUAGAAUGUAGUAAGUGGGCCUUUGUGCCUAUAAAACUUAUACAACUUUCAGCAACGGAUCUCUUGGCUCUCGCAUCGAUGAAGAACGCAGCGAAAUGCGAUAAGUAAUGUGAAUUGCAGAAUUCAGUGAAUCAUCGAAUCUUUGAACGCACCUUGCGCUCCUUGGUAUUCCGAGGAGCAUGCCUGUUUGAGUGUCAUUAAUGUAUCAACUUCUUUAGUUGGAUGUGGGGGUUUUGCUGGCCCUUUCUAAUGGUCAGCUCCCCUGAAAUACAUUAGCGGAACAAUUUGUUGACUUUUUCAUUAGUGUGAUAAUUAUCUGCGCUAUUGAAUUGUGAAGCAAGUUCAGCUUCUAAUAGUCCAUUGACUGGAC
rnacentral:rRNA from 1 species